rnacentral:lncRNA from 1 species
UCCCUCCUCCUUAUGCCUUCCAGAUUCUCUUCCUUCAUCCAAAUCUUAUAGCCUGACUGGACUGUAUAUUGUCCAUUUUGUGAGUGCAUCCAGUAGUAACUGUCCUCCUUUCCAGUUAAGCUUAUAGGAAUUUUCAGAAUCCUCUCAGCAUCUUGUGAGUUAAAUAUUCUGAAUAUCAGCACUGUGUUCCAUCUGCUGUUGAUCAUCAACUCUGAUACAAACUGGAGGUGACAUCCCUGAGGCUUUGCAGACGUUGGUUUCCCAGAUGGUCUGUCUGGAAUCCAGUUG